UAGGGAAUAUUGGACAAUGGGGGAAACCCUGAUCCAGCAAUGCCGCGUGAGUGAAGAAGGCCUUCGGGUUGUAAAACUCUUUCAUCAAUGAUGAUAAUGACAUUAGUUGAAGAAGAAGCUCCGGCUAACUUCGUGCCAGCAGCCGCGGUAAUACGAAGGGGGCUAGCGUUGUUCGGAAUCACUGGGCGUAAAGCGUAUGUAGGCGGAUCAAAAAGUUAGAUGUGAAAUCCCUGGGCUCAACCCAGGAACUGCAUUUAAAACUAGUGAUCUAGAAUUUGGUAGGGGUUAGUAGAAUUUCCAGUGUAGAGGUGAAAUUCGUAGAUAUUGGAAAGAAUACCAGUGGCGAAGGCGACUAACUGGGCCAUUUUUGACGCUGAGAUACGAAAGCGUGGGUAGCAAACAGG
rnacentral:rRNA from 1 species